UACGGAGGGGGCUAGCGUUGUCCGAAGUUACUGGGCGUAAAGCGCGCGUAGGCGGGUUGGCAAGUCCGCUGUGAAAGCCCGGAGCUCAACUCCGGAGGGUCGGUGGAUACUGCCAGUCUUGAAGGUGCUAGGGGGAGAUGGAAUUACCGGUGUAGCGGUGAAAUGCGUAGAUAUCGGUAGGAACACCAGUGGCGAAGGCGGUCUCCUGGGGCAUUCUUGACGCUGAGGCGCGAAAGCGGGGGGAGCAAACAGG
rnacentral:rRNA from 1 species